GGUAUGGCCUUUGCUCUCAGCUUCUGGGAAAUAAUCCAUGUCAUACCUGACAGCUUUGUUUCAGGUGGAGCUGGUAACCCAGAAACAUAAAAUAAUCUCAAAAUUUGAAACACCCAUAACAUCUUGGGUGAUGUAAGAAAAACAAAGGCAGUACCAGAAGAAUUCCAUAAUAAAAUGGAAAUGGUAUGUGCAGAGAAGUGUUACCAGAGAAUGCAAAGAGGUGCUCAGAGUAUUCAUCAAGAAGGAGCCUCUUUUUUUCCAUAGGGUCAACUUUGGUACUACCUAACAAACUGCUAGAUUCUACUGUCACCUGGACACAGAGUGAUGGUCACUCAUUGAGCAACAAAGAACUGUCUGAUUUAUGGAUGACAGUUCUGAAAUGAAUGGAAUACAUUCCGUUUGGAAGACUGCCACUCUGACUGAAGAAGGUUAAAAGCAAAUCAGAUAAGGCAACUGAAGUCAAGAUAUUAAGUAGCUUGCCAGAAUUUAAAGCAGCCAAUAAAGAACAAUGCCUGGUUUUAAACAAAAUACAAGUGAUUCCAAAGGCCACACUGCUUCCUUCAGAUAUAUGUUCCAGUGAUUGAAAUGUUUUCUAAUGAUUUUUUAAGGGAUAAUACCUCAAGGAGAGAGCAGUGGUAGAGAAGAAAAUUUAUUUACUGUGAGACUCAAUGUUUUGUGAGAUACUUUAUUACCUCUCAACUAUUAAACUUUAUUUUUAUUAUGUG